rnacentral:tRNA from 2 species
GCCCCUGUAGCUCAGCUGGAUAGAGCACAGGUUUCCUAAACCUGGUGUCGCCCGUUCGACUCGGGCCAGGGGCGCCA